rnacentral:rRNA from 1 species
GAACGCUGGCGGCGUGCUUAACACAUGCAAGUCGAAACGNGAAAGAGAAUUGAGAAGCUUGCUUCUUAUUAAUUCGAGUGGCAAACGGGUGAGUAACGCGUAAGCAACCUGCCCUUCAGAUGGGGACAACAGCUGGAAACGGCUGCUAAUACCGAAUACGUUCUUUUUGUCGCAUGGCAGAGGGAAGAAAGGGAGGCUCUUCGGAGCUUUCGCUGAAGGAGGGGCUUGCGUCUGAUUAGCUAGUUGGAGGGGUAACGGCCCACCAAGGCGACGAUCAGUAGCCGGUCUGAGAGGAUGAACGGCCACAUUGGGACUGAGACACGGCCCAGACUCCUACGGGAGGCAGCAGUGGGGAAUCUUCCGCAAUGGACGAAAGUCUGACGGAGCAACGCCGCGUGAACGAUGACGGCCUUCGGGUUGUAAAGUUCUGUUAUACGGGACGAAUGGUACGACGGUCAAUACCCGUCGUAAGUGACGGUACCGUAAGAGAAAGCCACGGCUAACUACGUG